rnacentral:rRNA from 1 species
GACGAACGCUGGCGGCGUGCUUAACACAUGCAAGUCGAACGGAAAGGCCCUGCUUUUGUGGGGUGCUAGAGUGGCGAACGGGUGAGUAACACGUGAGUAACCUGCCCUUGACUUUGGGAUAACAUCAGGAAACUGGGGCUAAUACCGGAUAGGAGCUCCUGCUGCAUGGCGGGGGUUGGAAAGUUUCGGCGGUUGGGAGUGGACUCGCUGCGUAUCAGCUUGUUGGUGGGGUAGUGGCUUACCAAGGCUUUGACGGGUAGCCGGCCUGAGAGGGUGACCGGCCACAUUGGGACUGAGAUACGGCCCAGACUCCUACGGGAGGCAGCAGUGGGGAAUAUUGCACAAUGGGCGGGAGCCUGAUGCAGCGACGCCGCGUGCGGGAUGACGGCCUUCGGGUUGUAAACCGCUUUCGCCUGUGACGAAGCGUGAGUGACGGUAAUGGGUAAAGAAGCACCGGCUAACUACGUGCCUGCAGCCGCCGCGG